rnacentral:rRNA from 1 species
AUUAAAAACCAAUGCCCUUCGGGGCUCUCUGGUGAUUCAUAAUAACUUCUCGAAUCGCACGGCCUUGUGCCGGCGAUGGUUCAUUCAAAUUUCUGCCCUAUCAACUUUCGACGGCUGGGUCUUGGCCAGCCGUGGUGACAACGGGUAACGGAGGGUUAGGGCUCGACCCCGGAGAAGGAGCCUGAGAAACGGCUACUACAUCCAAGGAAGGCAGCAGGCGCGCAAACUACCCAAUCCCGACACGGGGAGGUAGUGACAAUAAAUACUGAUACAGGGCUCUUUCGGGUCUUGUAAUUGGAAUGAGUACAAUUUAAAUCCCUUAACGAGGAACAAUUGGAGGGCAAGUCUGGUGCCAGCAGCCGCGGUAAUUCCAGCUCCAAUAGCGUAUAUUAAAGUUGUUGAGGUUAAAAAGCUCGUAGUUGAACCUUGGGCCUAGCCGGCCGGUCCGCCUCACCGCGUGCACUGGCUCGGCUGGGUCUCUCCUUCUGGAGAACCGCAUGCCCUUCACUGGGUGUGCC